UUCGCAAUGCCCGAAAGGGUGAACGAGCGACGCCGCGUGCGGGAUGAAGGGUUUUGGCUUGUAAACCGCUUUUCUUUGGGAAGAAGGUCUGUCUCGUGCAGAUGGGCUCGCCGGUACCAGAGGAAUAAGCCUCGGCUAACUCCGUGCCAGCAGCCGCGGUAAUACGGAGGGGGCAAGCGUUGUUCGGAUUUACUGGGCGUAAAGGGUGUGUAGGCGGCCGCGCCAGUCUGGUGUGAAAUCUUCACCGCUUAACGGGAAGAGGGCACUGGAUACUGCGCGGCUCGAGUAUGGUAGAGGCAAGCGGAAUUCCUGGUGUAGCGGUGGAAUGUGUAGAGAUCAGGAACGCCCGUGGCGAAAGCGAGGUCCUGGACGUCUGCUGACGCUGAGACGCGAAAGCUAGGGGAGCAAACGGGAUUAGAUACCCCGGUAGUCCUAGCCGUAAACGAUGGGCACUAAGUAGAGGGGUUUU
rnacentral:rRNA from 1 species